rnacentral:rRNA from 1 species
GACGAACGCUGGCGGCGUGCUUAACACAUGCAAGUCGAACGAUGAAGCUAGAGCUUGCUCUGGUGAAUUAGUGGCGAACGGGUGAGUAACACGUGAGUAACCUGCCCCGAACUCUGGGAUAACUGCUGGAAACGGUAGCUAAUACUGGAUACGACCUACGAAGGCAUCUUCUGUAGGUGGAAAGAAUUUCGGUUCGGGAUGGACUCGCGGCCUAUCAGCUUGUUGGUGAGGUAAUGGCUCACCAAGGCGACGACGGGUAGCCGGCCUGAGAGGUGACCGGCCACACUGGGACUGAGACACGGCCCAGACUCCUACGGGAGGCAGCAGUGGGGAAUAUUGCACAAAUGGGCGCAAGCCUGAUGCAGCAACGCCGCGUGAGGGAUGACGGCC